UACGUAGGGUGCGAGCGUUAAUCGGAAUUACUGGGCGUAAAGCGUGCGCAGGCGGUGAUGUAAGACCGAUGUGAAAUCCCCGGGCUUAACCUGGGAACUGCAUUGGUGACUGCAUCGCUCGAGUAUGGCAGAGGGGGGUAGAAUUCCACGUGUAGCAGUGAAAUGCGUAGAGAUGUGGAGGAAUACCGAUGGCGAAGGCCAGGCCCCCUGGGUCAAUACUGAC
rnacentral:rRNA from 1 species